AGGAUAAAGUCAUUUUGGGAACUGAUUACCCCUUUCCACUAGGUGAGCUGGAACCUGGGAAACUGAUAGACUCCAUGGAAGAAUUUGAUGAAGAAACUAAGGAUAAACUCAAAGCUGGCAAUGCCCUAGCAUUUUUGGGUCUUGAGAGACAACAAUUUGAAUGACUGAAUUUACAACAAAGGCAAACACUCAAGAAGAUACUUUAUUUUUGUUUUUAAGUAUGUAUCACACAUGCAUUACUAAAAUCCUAUUUGAACUAUUUAUCCAGAAAUAGAAUAUACCCAAAUAUACCAAAUUAUUCAUCACAAAAA